rnacentral:rRNA from 1 species
GACGAACGCUGGCGGCGUGCUUAACACAUGCAAGUCGAACGGAAAGGCCCUGCUUUUGUGGGGUGCUCGAGUGGCGAACGGGUGAGUAACACGUGAGUAACCUGCCCUUGACUUUGGGAUAACUUCAGGAAACUGGGGCUAAUACCGGAUAGGAGCUCCUGCUGCAUGGUGGGGGUUGGAAAGUUUCGGCGGUUGGGGAUGGACUCGCGGCUUAUCAGCUUGUUGGUGGGGUAGUGGCUACCAAGGCUUUGACGGGUAGCCGGCCUGAGAGGGUGACCGGCCACAUUGGGACUGAGAUACGGCCCAGCCUCCUACGGGAGGCAGCAGUGGGGAAUAUUGCUCAAUGGGCGGAAGCCUGAUGCAGCAACGCCGCGUGCGGGAUGACGGCCUUCGGGUUGUAAACCGCUUUCGCCUGUGACGAAGCGUGAGUGACGGUAAUGGGUAAAGAAGCACCGGCUAACUACGUG